rnacentral:rRNA from 1 species
UUAGAGUGCUUAAAGCAGGCUUGAUGCCAUGAAUAUUCAUGCAUAGUACGAGAGAAAAGGACUUUGUCUCUGUUUGGUGCACAGAAAGACAAAGUAAUGAUUAAGAGAGACAGACGGGGACGUUCGUACUGCGGCGUUAGAGGUGAAAUUCUUGGAUCGCUGCAAGACGAACAAUCGCGAAGGCAUUCGUCCAGAACGCUUUUCUUAAUCAAGAACGAAAGUUAGAGGUUCGAAGGCGAUCAGAUACCGCCCUAGUUCUAACCGUAAACGAUGCUGACCGGCUAUUAGUCGGUGUUAUACCCAAACACCCGAUUAGCAACCCCGGGAAACCAGAGUUUUUGUGUUCCGGGGGGAGUGUAUGGUUGCAAGGACUGAAACUUAAAGGAAUUAGACGGAAGGGCGACCACCAGGAGUGGAGCCUGCGGCUUAAUUUGACUCAACACGGGGAAACUUACCAGGACAGGACAUCGGAAGGACUGACAGAUUUGAAGCUCUUUCUCGAUUCGAUGGGUAGUGGUGCAUGGCCGUUCUUAGUUGGUGGAGUGAUUUGUCUGGUUAAUUCCGAUAACGAACGAGACUCAGACUAAGUCUCUGCUACCGUA